UACGUAGGGUGCAAGCGUUGUCCGGAAUUAUUGGGCGUAAAGAGCUUGUAGGCGGUUUGUCGCGUCUGCUGUGAAAUUUCGGGGCUCAACCCCGAACUUGCAGUGGGUACGGGCAGACUAGAGUGUGGUAGGGGAGACUGGAAUUCCUGGUGUAGCGGUGAAAUGCGCAGAUAUCAGGAGGAACACCGGUGGCGAAGGCGGAUCUCUGGGCCUUACCUGACGCUCAGGCACGAAAGCUAGGGGAGCGAACAGG
rnacentral:rRNA from 1 species